UACGGAGGGGGUUAGCGUUGUUCGGAAUGACUGGGCGUAAAGGGCGCGUAGGCGGCCUGAUAAGUCGGGGGUGAAAUCCUGCGGCUUAACCGCAGGGCUGCCUUCUAAACUGUCAGGCUAGAGCACAGUAGAGGCAGGUGGAAUUCCCGGUGUAGCGGUGGAAUGCGUAGAGAUGUGGAGGAACACCGAUGGCGAAGGCAGCCCCCUGGGUUAACACUGACGCUCAGGCACGAAAGCGUGGGGAGCAAACAGG
rnacentral:rRNA from 1 species